GCAUUGGUGGUUUAGUGGUAGAAUGCUCGCCUGCCACGCGGGCGACCCGAGUUUGUUUCCCGGCCAAUGCA
rnacentral:tRNA from 1 species